GCCUUGUUUGAUUCUGUUUUUGCGUCAGUCUCAUAAUCUGAAGGUCGUGAGUUCGAGCCUCACACGGGGCA
rfam:Danio rerio chromosome 4, GRCz11 reference primary assembly.